rnacentral:rRNA from 1 species
UACCAUGCUGAAUAUACCGGUUCUCGUUAGAUCACCGAAGUUAAGCAUCAUUGGGCGCGGUCAGUACUUGGAUGGGUGACCACCUGGGAACACUGCGUGCCGUU